UGUGGUGUGAGUGUGGUGUUGAGUUAGUGCAUAAGUUCAGAUGCUACAGGUUUGCGUGGGUGAGUUGAUCGGUGGAGAGUAGCUGUCAGGCUGUCACCUACAUCUGUCUUCAUCUCCAGAGGAUGCUUCGAAGGGGAAAAAAUAGCAAGGUUAGAGCCUGUGAAAUGUUGAGCAAACUUGAUCACUGUCGCUUGCAGUCAACAUGGAAAGCAAGCAGAUCGGUCCGGGAGGCUACGCCGGAUUGGCAUUUUCGAUCUUAGCCACCUGCGCUGCGCCACUGGAUUUUGCUGUUAUGAGCUUUUUUUUGGCCGGGAGGGAAGAGGAGCUGGCAGCCGGAAGGGGUAUGAAGGGACUGGGCGGGCAGAAGGUGUGUCGCGGGGUCGCCGACGCGGCGACAUCGGGUCUGGCUUAUCCACUUCCCGGUCAUCUCUGCAUGCGUAUCCCUGGCCGUGCGGGUGGGACGCAUCAGGCGGAUGCGGUGAGCAAGGUCGCGGACGCGGAGGACGUGUUGGUUAUCUAAAUAGCGAUAGGAUUUUGUUUCUGAUCAAGAUCUAUAUCUUUGGGAGCACUGAUUUUGUCACUGAGCCUCAAGGUAAGAGGUAGAAAGGAGGUGCUCAGUGGCAAGCGAUGGCAUCGGAUAAAAAGGCAUGGAAGCUGAUUUAAGCUAGUAGGCCGCACACAAAAAGUACAGGAAGACGAAUUGAGGUGUUAUGCUACCACCUGGUCAGCAUGGAGGAUGAAGAAACUGAAUGUUCAGGAGAUACCAGUUGGUCAACGACAGUGAACCCCAAUUCAUACACAUUCUAUUCUUGGUCCUUGUUCUCCAAGAUCCGUGGAAGAUGCAAAAGAGAAUUCCGCCGAGAUCGAGAGCUUCCAAGAUAAUAACUGAAUCCCUCUCUCAUAAGUAAUAAGCGGCAGUGGUAGAUUUUUGGCACCAGGAGGCUCCCAAAUCAGAUUCACCAAAGGUAAGCCAUGAUGAUAAAAUAAAAUGAUGCAAGUUCUUCAUAACCAUGUCAUUUUUCACUUUUGAUAGCACCAGCAGGACUAUCAGCUGACUCACAUUCCACCCAGAAGAGGAAAAAUAUCCACCAGAAAAUGACCCAACAACUCUCCCAUCAGAAGUACCAUGGAAGCAGCAGACAUACAUCUUCCAAGCGGAGAUGGAGCAUGCAAAGCAGAAGAUGGAACCACUGAGGAAUGCCUCCCGGCCAUGGCAUCAAUAGUGGCAUGGCAACUUACAACAUCAAUCAAUCAGUAAACAACAUGACAUUGCUGGUAAAUUUCUAUGAUUAAUAUAAAUUUCUAUGAGUCUCCCGCUACACCGCCUUGGAAGCUUUCCCUCUUCAUCCGACCAUCGAGCACACAGAGCCAGCAAGGUCCAUCACCACCAAUCCCAUCACCGCGAACAGCUCGCCAUCCAGAAGGAUCUAGGGCAGCGCUGUGAGGUCUGGCUACGCAUCACCGCGAACAGCUGGUCCUCCAGCGGAAGCCGAACGACGGUGAGAGGUCUGGCCGACGCUGAAGAAUACCCAGGCAAAGCUGAAACUGCGGAGAUCGAUAGCAUGGCCGAAAGGGUUCGAGGAUCCUCCAUGGCGGCAGGGAGAGAGGAGUCCGGUGGAUGUAGAUGUGAAGAUCAGCCAAAGGGGUCGGUGGAGACAUUCAAUACUCCUCCUGGACAUCAAUGACCACAUGGUUUCUUCUGGAUCCGGCGAGGUCUGACGGAGAUGACAUCGACAGAGAAGAUGAGACCGGACCUCGUUAGCUGGCUCGCCGCUGCGUGCAUCUACAUGACGGUGCCGGAGGCCGUUGAGAACAUCUUCGAACGACACCCUCCAUUAUCGCGACGGCGGCGCGCGCAGAGGGUGACCGAUGCUCCUCCGCGCCGCAAGUCCCCUUGGGAAGGAGAGGAGGGGUCCGACCUUCUCGUCAGCCAGCCGCAGAGAGAAGGCCAGGCAGGGAGAGGAGAUCGCCGGGAAGGAUGUGGGCGGCGGCGUUGGGAAGGAGGAGAGCAGUCAAUUCCUAUUUUUUUUCUUGGCAUGGCGAAUUGGAGCGGUGAAGACGUGCAGAUCGAUGGUUGCUCGAUGUGGGGUCUCCACGCCGCUUUGACCGUCCCACGUUGUGAACCGGGAAACCGGGGAUUGUGAGUAUAGAAGAGAGAGAAACCUGCUUACAGGGAUGGGCAACCGGAAACCAUAAGUAGUAAUACCAGAAGAAGCCGGUCAGAUCUGAUUUUUUCACGCGAGAAAAAGGGAAAGGAAGUCCCGCACGUCCAGGACUAUCAGCUCGUGAAUAGGGGAAAAUGCAAUCGUGCCAAAACCUGAUUGGUGGAAACGGGACCAUCAACAGUACCCAAAGAUGAUGGUAUGUGUACUUCGUUGAGUGGUUGGUUGCAGAAUGGAAGGGCAGGAGUGGCAUCAUGAUGAACAACGAGGAGAUAUGAAGAGUAUUAGAAGUGGGACUAGAGCCAUGAGAUUCUCCAAUGUCUGGAAGAGGCAGGCUGGAGCAUUCCAUUCCUCUAUGGUUAGGAAGCACACCUCGCUGUAGACAUCCCCUGACGGCCAAGAAACAAAGGGGGGCUUCAAAAGGGCUUCCUUUCCACCUUGGUUUCAGAGUUUGUGUUCAUGUUAUUAGCUAUAGAAAUGCAACUGUGUUGUGUAUGCAAAUGGGGUUGCGACAAAGCAGAGCUCAUUGCACUGCGCCCGCACAUAUCCCCAUCAGCUACAUGGGCCACGUCGUCUCCUGCGGCAGCCUUGGCGCUCCGGGGCGAUUCGAGCAAGGCCUGGAGCCAUCUCGGGCAUCUGUGUGGUGUUGGACGCCGCAAACUCAAUGGGAAACGGUGGCCUCAAGCGCGGGUAUGUCUUAAGUCCAUGUUCAAUCUGUCCCCCCGGUGCCCGGCAGCGCCGAUGACCAUUUUCUCCUUCCACUGUCUUCUUUUUAUCGCCCCAGCCAGAUGUACUUCCGGCAAGAAGAGAGUAGGUAUGUGGCCCUGUUCUAACCGCUGUUCAGAAAUUGAUCUAAUUCUUGCUUGCAUUAUAUGUCUCAUCUUAGUUCUAACAGAUGUUCAGAGAUACUGAUUUGAAAUUUUGCAGUCCAAUAGUAAUCCGUUAACCAUCAAACACAUGCAUACAUUUGUUAAUACUGAACGUAUACCUACUAAAGAUGGAUAGGCACUACGCGGCGUAAACCUUGUGCAGUAUAUAUAGAGAUGUAUUGGUACCUACACGAUUACUUGGUCCACAUUCGCUAAACAUAUACAGUGUUGUACAUUGACAUGUGAAAAGCAUGGUUAUAGAUUUAUAACUACUAAAAAGGAGACUACAUGCCUAGCAUCAGCUAAGAAAUAACAACAGUAAUAGUGACCUCAUUUUUCAGUUUGAGGAAGGGGAGUUUUCCUGUGUGUAUAUGCCUACACCACAAUUUUAGAAGGGAAAAAGGAUGCAUUGGAGAAGCAGAAAUUAGAGGGUUGAUUGUCCCUGUCAUAGUCCUAGAAGAAAUGUAUUCCCUUGUAAGGAUUUGAUACCCUGCAAUAAGAAAUUUAGUGACGAGUUUCUAACACGGCCAGAGGUAGUUCUCUUCUUAGUAAUAUGCUUACAUCUAGAUUACUUGCCUAGAAGUCAGGAGUUCAUUUUUAUCAUCCUAAUUUUCUCAUUGCACCAACAUGUCACGUCUGCUUUUAGGUAAUGCUCUAUGGACUGUCAUAGUCGCAUAGAAACACAAAAUAAAUUAGCAUGAGUCCUCUUUGAGUGUCAUCUACCAGACAUUUGUAAAAUGAUACCCUUUGAGCAUCACAACAUUUUCUUCUAUAUUAUCUAUGCUCUUUACUUCAAUGCACUCUCCUUCAGGUGCAAAAGAAUUUUCUAUCUCACUUUACGGUAAUCUUUCCAGUUAAAUGUAAUGAUGAUAAAUUUUUGCAUGUCCAUGUAAAUAGUAAAUAAUUCCCUUUGUGAUCUGAGUGCUUAAUAGAAACUUCAAUGAGUACAGAUGUGUUGUGAUGAUCCAGUGAGAACAUGAUCUGAAUUGGUGUCCUUGCUAUUUGGAGUCCUUGGUGGCGGCUCCCCUACUGCGUACCUCCUGAGCGACAUAUAUACUCAUUCAAAAUGUUCACCGGUUUCCAAGUGUGUGUCGCUUUCUUGAAUCCAGGAUUUUAUUCUUUCAUUUAUGUUCAGUGGUGUAAUAAAAUUUUAGACAGAUCUAAACUUGAUAGCUAUUCUGCACGUCAAUGUACUAUCCAUGUACCACAUCCACGUGUAUCUACACUUCUUCUUGGUAGAGGAUUUCGAACGACGAACUAACAUUUAGGAAAAAACUAUGCAACACAAUCUAGAAAAAGAUAUAUCUUCUAUGUUUCAA